GUGAGCCAAUGAAAUUGCACGAUACAUGCACGUGCAGUGAGUGAUGACGCGGUUCGCGGCACCUUUCACCCACGUAAACGACGCAGGCGCGCGCGGUUCGGAUGUCUCAGGCAUAAUCUGCAAUAAAACAAAGAAAACGUUAAUAAAAGUUCACUAAAACGCUUCAAAAUACUCUUAAUAAGCAGAAUUACUCACCUAAGGCCGAAUAUGAAGUUUCUACGCCGUUAAAACCGUGAAAACAGGCUGUGAAUUCCCCCGCACAGGACGGGGCGGUGCGGUGCAGUGUGGAGCUGCUGAGCUGGAGAUGACUGGUGCUCUCAGCUUCCCCUGCUCUGUUUUUCCAGUAGCAGGUAAAUGAUCAAUCCGGGCUGGAUCAUGCCUCGGCCACUCUGAGCCCACGCUGACCGAGCUGCACAUUGACCACCUGAUAGCCGAGGAUCAUCCUCACCUCCAUAAAGCACCUGCAGAACCAGACCUGCUCACUCACACAGUUUUUUUUGUGUUUGUGCGUGCCCAUACCCUGACUGUGUCUCCGGUCGGUUCUGUCGGGGUGUGUGUCGCUGUGUGAGCUGGGUGUGCUGGCACUGGAGGAGCUGUUACUGCCUCCCCUCUGUAGACCCACAUCCAGAGAGAGCUCCGCCCUCCGCAGAGCUGUAUAAGCAUCUUCCAUUUGGUUCAGCUAAAGUGUUCUGACCUGCUGCGUAUCAGCUGAGACCCGGCCCGCGGUUUGAGCUCUCCUGGCACUGACCCAUUUCCAGCCAGAGGGGGCUGCGCUCUGAACUCUGCUUCUCCUCACGACCUCGAGAAGGUACAGCGGACACAGCUGGCAUCUCUGAGGUGGGGUCAGAGUUCUGACGAGGCAUUUCGGGCCGGUGGGCCCCCAAGCCCUCCUGGAAAGCUGAAACUCCUUUAGAGGACUGGUCGUGUAGAGACGGAGAACCGGACAGCGAGGGACCAUGAGACUUCAUAGACACCAGAUGGGCCAUCUGAGAAAACACAGGUCUACAGAUCUACAGACUGAUUGGUGUUAGGCUAACAGCACUACUGACUACAAUCAUCAGAAGCUCUAAUCACAGACUCCCAGCAAACAGGAAAGUGCAGGAAGAUCCACCACCGACAGCCAGCAGAGGGCGCUGAGACUAAAGGCCGCAGUGCAACACUCACACACUGUGGGCUGGGGCAGCAUGGGGUUCUUGCAGGGGCCGCGGGGCAGGAACAGGUGGAUGCGGAUCUGUCGUUCGUUCUGCAGAUCUCGGAUGAAGGGGUGCUUCAGGAGCUGUUCGGUAGUCGGCCUCUGGGUGUGAUUCUUCACUAAACAGCUCUCGAUAAACGACUGGAACUUCUUAGACCUGCGGAGAACCACACAGAGAACAACCCAAGAGACCCAGAGCGUUAAAAAUAAACCUAUAGAGAAAAAGAGAAAGCAAAAGAGAGAGAGAGGGCGAUCAAGACUCACCACUUCUUGGACUUUAAUCGAGGGGCUGUACUGCGGGGGAUCAGGAACAGAGCCCUCAUGGGGUGCAUAUCACACAGGGCUGGAAGGAGAGAGAGUGAGUGAAAAAGUGAGAAAAGAAGAUGCUAAUGUGUGUACAGGUACAUUGUACAGGUGGGUUAUUAUUAGAAUUAUUAGAAUACUGUGCUGUUUUGCAAUAUCAUGCUUAAAUUAAUUAAGAGUUUUAAUUCUUUUGCCAGAUCUCACUCACCUGAGUGCUGAUUCCAUUCACCUGUGUCAUUACUACUUGUAUAUAUAAAGCACUACAGUGAUAUUUUACCACAACAGUGUGGACAACUUAGGCUUAAACCUAAACAUUUGUAGGUGUAUGUACAGUGUGUUAUUUUUUUUUUUUACUUACGUGGAGCUCCUUCGGCCAUCUCAAUAGCAGUUAUUCCAAGUGACCACAGAUCACUCUGAAAGACAAAUGAAACACUGAUAUUGUAAAUCACAAUAAAUUAGGAACUAUUAGUUUUAAAAUAAAGUAGUAAAACGUUUUUUUAAUGCCAGUUGGAUUGGCUGCAAUUGUUCUUUCCAGUCCCCUUCCCUUCCCUUUACCUCACUCUACCGCGAUUUACCUUGCACUAUUUCACUCUACCUCACUUUACUACCUCUUUCUAUCUAGCUUUACCUCACUCAAAUUAUUCUACCUCACUCUGCCUCCAACGUUAUGUAAAAUGAGCAUGUCUGCAGUGUGAAGAGCUCCCUCUGUAGCUGUUUACAGGUAGUGCAGUUUGAGUUUGCUGGUAUUCACAAUGAUAUUGCAGUUCUUUCAAUGUGCAUCAUAAAAACUCAUCUAGAAUAUUAUUUAUUGCGCAGCUUUAUUUGGUAUAUUAAUAUUAUGGCUGAGUUUAUUGAAUCUAACUGAUUUUGAGAAGUCUCUCUGUUCAUACACACAUCUGUCCUCCAGUCAGUAUCGUUACACAAACACUGCAUUUGGCCUGGAAUCUAAAAACAGCCUCUGUCACAGCGUCCGUCUCGUCUGCUGCUGUUACAUAAUCCCUGCUGGCGGAAUCACAGUUCCACACCUCCGGCUCGCUCACUUCACACCAACACAGUACGGCUGUACUUCACACUGAUAAAGCAUGCAUAUAAAAAUAUUAUAAAAAAUAUUAAAAAUUCACUGCUCUUCAAAAGGGGUGUAAUUUCAUAAUAAUACUAUUAUACUAUCAGUGGCUUAAAAUUAUUAUAAAAUAACAAUAAUAUAAUUGAACCCCAAUAUAUAUGGUAAAGGAAUCUCAGUAAAGAGUGGAUAUACUCAACACUGAUUCCACUGUUGAGAGAGAGAGAGAGAGAGAGAGAGAGAGAAGGAGGCGGGGGCGAGAAAAACUGAGAGAACAGUGUCAGACAUACAGCACUUCUAAAGCACUUCACCACAACAGCCUGUCUGAGUCUGAGUGGUUCAGCACUGGAGAAAAAAAAAACAACAGAAGAAUAGACGAAAAGAAAUAAAGAGAAAAAAAAAGACUUCUCUAACCAAAACAUAAACGAGAAUAUAUAACAUAUAAUAUAUAUACUUUUAUAAAUGGGACAAAAAAACAAUUAUUCUAAUUAUUAUCUUUAUUCACUGUCAUUGUCACUUAUUUUGUGUACUUGUCACUGUUGUAAUGCUUUGGCAAUAUGAAUCCAUUUCUCAUAAACACUUAUACCCAUCAAUAGCCAGCAGUCAGUCUUAAGAUCUCACUCACCUGAGUGCUAAUUCCAUUCACCUGUUCAUUACUACUUAUAUAUAAAGGCAGUUAUUUUGCGCUACCUUUUUUAGAGUAUUGCCGCAGCCUAGGUCUGUGCAGUGUGUUUUCAGUAUUAUUUAUUUUAGUUACUUUAGUUGCAGAAUAAUCACUGUUUUUUUUCACAGUUUUUCACUCAUUUUUGGUCGCUAAAGUGCUGUUACUCUGGUUUGAUGUUUUUGCCUAUACCUUGAGUGUUUUGUUGAUUAAUCCUGUGGCUAAAUCUCUUUAUUAAUGUAAACUUCAAAACUAAUGGUAAAUGAUAUUUAGUAAAAAUGUUGCACCUUAAAAUCAUAUGUAGCCUCUGGAUUUUCAUCACAGGCGAUUACUUCUGGGGCCAUCCAGUAGGGGGUGCCGAUAAACGUGUUUCUCCGACUGACUGUGCGAUCCAGUUGGGCACUAACGCCAAAGUCCACUGCAAACCAGAAACAUAUAUAUAUCAAAAACACAUCAAACAAAAACCAAACACACCAAACAUAAACACACAACAAACACGUCAAAGACUCAAUCAUAAACCCAAACACAUUAUAUACACACAAACACACAUCAAACACAUUAAAACACACAUCAGAGACAGAAACAUGAAAGGUGAAUCAGUGCAUUUAAUUGUAUUUUAAAAUCGCACAAUUUAGAGAUGUCCACAUUUCAUGUCUAUCAGUGUUUUCUAGUGCCAGUCGUUAUUGUGAACCUGAUGAGUACCGGCUGUAACAGCAGUACUCCAGGCCAGCAGGGCGGCGCUCUCACCUAGUUUCACCUCUGC